rnacentral:rRNA from 1 species
GAUGAACGCUGGCGGCGUGCCUAAUACAUGCAAGUCGAGCGAACGGACGAGAAGCUUGCUUCUCUGAUGUUAGCGGCGGACGGGUGAGUAACACGUGGAUAACCUACCUAUAAGACUGGGAUAACUUCGGGAAACCGGAGCUAAUACCGGAUAAUAUUUUGAACCGCAUGGUUCAAAAGUGAAAGACGGUCUUGCUGUCACUUAUAGAUGGAUCCGCGCUGCAUUAGCUAGUUGGUAAGGUAACGGCUUACCAAGGCAACGAUGCAUAGCCGACCUGAGAGGGUGAUCGGCCACACUGGAACUGAGACACGGUCCAGACUCCUACGGGAGGCAGCAGUAGAGAAUCUUCCGCAAUGGGCGAAAGCCUGACGGAGCAACGCCGCGUGAGUGAUGAAGGUCUUCGGAUCGUAAAACUCUGUUAUUAGGGAAGAACAUAUGUGUAAGUAACUGUGCACAUCUUGACGGUACCUAAUCAGAAAGCCACGGCUAACUACGUGCCAGCAGCCGCGGUAAUACGUAGGUGGCAAGCGUUAUCCGGAAUUAUUGGGCGUAAAGCGCGCGUAGGCGGUUUUUUAAGUCUGAUGUGAAAGCCCACGGCUCAACCGUGGAGGGUCAUUGGAAACUGGAAAACUUGAGUGCAGAAGAGGAAAGUGGAAUUCCAUGUGUAGCGGUGAAAUGCGCAGAGAUAUGGAGGAACACCAGUGGCGAAGGCGACUUUCUGGUCUGUAACUGACGCUGAUGUGCGAAAGCGUGGGGAUCAAACAGGAUUAGAUACCCUGGUAGUCCACGCCGUAAACGAUGAGUGCUAAGUGUUAGGGGGUUUCCGCCCCUUAGUGCUGCAGCUAACGCAUUAAGCAUUCCGCCUGGGGAGUACGACCGCAAGGUUGAAACUCAAAGGAAUUGACGGGGACCCGCACAAGCGGUGGAGCAUGUGGUUUAAUUCGAAGCAACGCGAAGAACCUUACCAAAUCUUGACAUCCUUUGACAACUCUAGAGAUAGAGCCUUCCCCUUCGGGGGACAAAGUGACAGGUGGUGCAUGGUUGUCGUCAGCUCGUGUCGUGAGAUGUUGGGUUAAGUCCCGCAACGAGCGCAACCCUUAAGCUUAGUUGCCAUCAUUAAGUUGGGCACUCUAAGUUGACUGCCGGUGACAAACCGGAGGAAGGUGGGGAUGACGUCAAAUCAUCAUGCCCCUUAUGAUUUGGGCUACACACGUGCUACAAUGGACAAUACAAAGGGCAGCGAAACCGCGAGGUCAAGCAAAUCCCAUAAAGUUGUUCUCAGUUCGGAUUGUAGUCUGCAACUCGACUACAUGAAGCUGGAAUCGCUAGUAAUCGUAGAUCAGCAUGCUACGGUGAAUACGUUCCCGGGUCU